GUCAGAAGCACCAGCCGCUGCUUCAUUCAGUCAGUCCGCCCGCCGGUCUGUCGGACGAUCGCUCAGUCCGUCAGUCCGUCCCCUCUCCUGCCGAACAAAGAGGAAGCAAAAGCACACACACACACACACAGCAUACGCAGCGCUGAGGAGCAGACGGGGAAGCCUAAUGCCACAUACAAGAUGGUGCUGCCCUUCUCUGUCUAAUUCAGUGCUGUUGCUCUGCUACCGGGCCUGAGAUCACGCGCCAGCUGCCAAAAAGGCAGAUGGAUUUAAAGAUGAGCCAAUUAAACGGCUCAUGCUCCUUGUUUGAAUCCAGAUUAAAACUCCCCUUAACGA